UACGAAGGGGGCUAGCGUUGCUCGGAAUCACUGGGCGUAAAGGGUGCGUAGGCGGGUCUUUAAGUCAGGGGUGAAAUCCUGGAGCUCAACUCCAGAACUGCCCUUGAUACUGAGGAUCUUGAGCUCGGGAGAGGUGAGUGGAACUGCGAGUGUAGAGGUGAAAUUCGUAGAUAUUCGCAAGAACACCAGUGGCGAAGGCGGCUCACUGGCCCGGUACUGACGCUGAGGCACGAAAGCGUGGGGAGCAAACAGG
rnacentral:rRNA from 1 species